UACGGGGGGGGCAAGCGUUGUUCGGAAUUACUGGGCGUAAAGGGCUCGUAGGUGGCCAACUAAGUCAGACGUGAAAUCCCUCAGCUUAACUGGGGAACUGCGUCUGAUACUGGAUGGCUUGAGUUUGGGAGAGGGAUGCGGAAUUCCAGGUGUAGCGGUGAAAUGCGCAGAUAUCAGGAAGAACACCCGUGGCGAAAGCGGCUCUCUGGAACGGUACUGACGCUGAGACGCGAAAGCGUGGGGAGCGAACAGG
rnacentral:rRNA from 1 species